GAUGAACGCUAGCGACAGGCCUAACACAUGCAAGUCGAGGGGCAGCAUGGUAUCAGCUUGCUGAUACCGAUGGCGACCGGCGCACGGGUGAGUAACGCGUAUGUAAUCUGCCUGUAACAGAGGGAUAACCCGGAGAAAUCCGGCCUAAUACCUCAUAGCACAUAUUAUUCGCAUGAGUUUUAUGUUAAAGAGACUCGGUUACAGAUGAACAUGCGUUCCAUUAGCUGGUUGGCGGGGUAACGGCCCACCAAGGCAACGAUGGAUAGGGGUUCUGAGAGGAAGGUCCCCCACACUGGUACUGAGACACGGACCAGACUCCUACGGGAGGCAGCAGUGAGGAAUAUUGGUCAAUGGGCGAGAGCCUGAACCAGCCAAGUCGCGUGGAGGAAGACUGCCCUACGGGUUGUAAACUCCUUUUACCUGGGAAUAACGGGCGCUACGCGUAGCGCUGUGCAUGUACCGGGAGAAUAAGCAUCGGCUAAUUCCGUGCC
rnacentral:rRNA from 1 species